UGUGACAUACCUUACUGUUGCCUCGGCGGAUCAGCCCGCUCCCGGUAAAACGGGACGGCCCGCCAGAGGACCCCUAAACUCUGUUUCUAUAUGUAACUUCUGAGUAAAACCAUAAAUAAAUCAAAACUUUCAACAACGGAUCUCUUGGUUCUGGCAUCGAUGAAGAACGCAGCAAAAUGCGAUAAGUAAUGUGAAUUGCAGAAUUCAGUGAAUCAUCGAAUCUUUGAACGCACAUUGCGCCCGCCAGUAUUCUGGCGGGCAUGCCUGUUCGAGCGUCAUUUCAACCCUCAAGCCCUCGGGUUUGGUGUUGGGGAUCGGCGAGCCUUUCUGGCAAGCCGGCCCCGAAAUCUAGUGGCGGUCUCGCUGCAGCCUCCAUUGCGUAGUAGUAAAACCCUCGCAACUGGAACGCGGCGCGGCCAAGCCGUUAAACCCCCAACUUCUGAAUGUUGACCUCGGAUCAGGUAGGAAUACCCGCUGAACUUAAGCAUAUCA
rnacentral:rRNA from 2 species